UACGGAGGGUGCGAGCGUUGUCCGGAAUCACUGGGCGUAAAGGGCGCGUAGGCGGCGCGGGGAGUCAACGGUGAAAGCUCGGCGCUCAACGCCGAGUCGGCCGUCGAUACUCCCGUGCUUGAGCACUGUAGAGGCAGGUGGAGUUCCGGGUGUAGCGGUGGAAUGCGUAGAGAUCCGGAAGAACACCGGUGGCGAAGGCGGCCUGCUGGGCAGUAGCUGACGCUGAGGCGCGACAGCGUGGGGAGCAAACAGG
rnacentral:rRNA from 1 species